rnacentral:rRNA from 1 species
CCUACGGGUGGCAGCAGUGAGGAAUAUUGGUCAAUGGGCGGAGGCCUGAACCAGCCAAGUCGCGUGCAGGAUGACUGCCCUAUGGGUUGUAAACCUCUUUUAUAAGGGAAGAAUAAUGCCUACGUGUAGUCCGUUGCAUGUACCUUAUGAGUAAGGAUCGGCUAACUCCGUGCCAGCAGCCGCGGUAAUACGGAGGAUGCGAGCGUUAUCCGGAUUUGUUGGUUUAAAGGGGGACGUAGGCGGUAUUUUAAGUUAGUGGUAAAACGUCGGGGCUUCACCUUGAUUUGCCAUUAGAACUGGAGUACUAGAGUACAGACGAGGUAGGCGGAAUAAGUUAAGUAGCGGUGAAAUGCUUAGAUAUGACGUAGAACCCCGAUUGCGAAGGCAGCUUACCAGAGUGGAACUGACGCUGAAGCACGAGAGCGUGGGUAUCGAACAGGAUUAGAUACCCGAGUAGUC